GAGACACCCCAUGGAGCAGGACUUGCUUCAGUGGGGCUUUGGUGCUCACUGAAUCUGCUCCUUGUAUGUGUCACU
rnacentral:pre_miRNA from 1 species